rnacentral:sRNA from 1 species
ACCUAAACCCGAUGGCACGGAUGCCGAUUAAGUACCAUUGUUUUUGUCAACACCUAUCGGCAGGAGGAACAGCGGGACGGAAC